rnacentral:rRNA from 1 species
CCCUUAGAUGUUCUGGGCUGCACGCGCGCUACACUGAUGCGCUCAACGAGUUUUAACCUUGCCUGGAAAGGUUGGGUAAUCUUUUUAAAACGCAUCGUGAUGGGGAUAGAUUAUUGCAAUUAUUAAUCUUCAACGAGGAAUUCCUAGUAAGCGCGGGUCAUCAUCCCGCGCUGAAUACGUCCCUGCCCUUUGUACACACCGCCCGUCGCUCCUACCGAUUGAGUGGUCCGGUGAGGCUUUGGGAUCUGAGCGGAAAGAGCGUUUCGCUGUUUCUGCCCGGAAAACUCAGUCGAACCUUAUCAUUUAGAGGAAGGAGAAGUCGUAACA